rnacentral:lncRNA from 1 species
GUGUAGGCAAGUACACAAGCUUGGAGAGUAUCAGCUGGCAGUACACAAGCUUGGAGAGUAUCAGCUGGUGUAGGCAAGUACACAAGCUUGGAGAGUAUCAGCUGGUGUAGGCAAGUACACAAGCUUGGAGAGUAUCAGCUGGUGUAGGCAAGUACACAAGCUUGGAGAGUAUCAGCUGGUGUAGGCAAGUACACAAGCUUGGAGAGUAUCAGCUGGCAAGUACACAAGCUUGGAGAGUAUCAGCUGGUGUAGGCAAGUACACAAGCUUGGAGAGUAUCAGCUGGUGUAGGCAAG